rnacentral:rRNA from 1 species
GUGCCAGCAGCCGCGGUAAUACCGGCAGCUCAAGUGGUCGUCGCUUUUAUUGGGCCUAAAACGUCCGUAGCCUGUUUGGUAAAUCUGUGGGUAAAACAAUCCGCUCAACUGGUUGAAUUCUGCAGAGACUGCCACACUAGGGACCGGGAGAGGUGUGGGGUACUCUAGGGGUAGGGGUAAAAUCCUGUCAUCCUUAAAGGACCACCAGUUGCGAAGGCGCCACCCUGAAACGGAUCCGACGGACAGGGACGAAGCCUAGGGGCACGAACCGGAUUAAAUACCCGGGUAGUCCUACGUGUAAACGCUGUGAACUUGGUGUCGGGGAUCCGUCAUGGGUCCCCGGUGCCGGAGUGAAGAUGUUAAGUUCACUGCCUGGGGAGUACGGUCGCAAGGCUGAGACUUAACGGAAUUGGCGGGGGAGCACUGCAACGGGAGGAGCGUGCGGUUUAAUUGGAUUUAACGCCGGAUAACUCACCAGGGCCGACUGUUAUAUGAAGACCAGUGUGAUGAACUUGUCGGAUUUUCAGAGAGGUGGUGCAUGGCCGUCGUCAGUUCGUACUGUAAAGCGUUCUGUUAAGUCAGAUAACGAACGAAACCCUCAUCUCUAUUUUUUACCUGUCUUUCCGGAGACAGCGCAUUAUAGGGAGACCGCUGGUGUUAAACCAGAGGAAAUGCGAGGGCAACGACAGGUCAGUAUGCCCCGAAAGUCCUGGGAUACUCGCGCGCUACAAAGGACGGGACAAUGGGAAGCCAGGCCGAGAGGCCGAGAUAACCCGAAACCCGUUCGUAGUUCGGAUUGAGGGCUGUAACUCGCCCUCAUGAAGCUGGAUUCCGUAGUAAUCGUGUUUCAAAAUAGCACGGGAAUAUGCCCCUGCUCCUUGCACUCACCGCCCGUC